AGGAAUUCACUAUUUGAUGCAUUUUGCGUCAGAUAGUCGGGGCAUCGCAUAGGAGGUUCGUGACAGCGAGCGCAAUGGGCAAGUCCCUAAUUUAUAGCGGUACACAGAGGUGUUCUGUUCCCGUUUUAGGAACGUUCUAGAUGGUUCCCAGUUCUUGACUGGUUUUUUUGAUUCUUUUUUCUUCUAUUUACUCGUUUUUCUGGUUUCCUUUUUUGGGUUUUCAUUUUUACGUUUUUAUGUUUUGUGUUUUAUGUUUAUUUUUCUUCCUUUUUGUUGUUUCAUAAAUUCAAAAGUUGUUUGCUUAUUGAAAACAAUUCAAAAUUCAAAAUUUUUGUUCGUGUUUUAAAACACAAUGUAGGAUUCCUUCAUUUGACGAUUGAAGCUGGAGAACUUUAGGGUGUAGAGUUAUCAACGUGAGAUAUAUCGAAUUUAUAUAGGUAUAGUAUGAUUGAAAUGAGUGUGGUAUUGGUGGACUAUUGGAUCAUCUUGGAUAUUGCUACUUGGAUUCUAGGUUUAAGAUAACUUGGGCACUUGGAUUUGUGAUAUUUUGACCUAAGCCUAGUAGCUUGUAUGUGCCCCAUAUGAAUAUGAGCCAUGGAGAUGAUACAAAUGGAUUGGAGUUGGUAGACUUCGAUGGUUUUGCUAAUCCUCCCCAAAAAUGUUAUGUACAAGAUCAUCAUGGUCGUGGAGGGAAAACUAGGCAUGACUCAACCCAAUGUAUAAGAAGAAACAUGAUUUUGACCAUGCGAAUGGAAAUACAUGUACAUGUAGUGCCAACGGAAAAAAUGUUAAUUUAGGGGAUUAUGGUAUGAAGCCACCUUGCAAGAGGUUAUUGAGUGCAGGCAACCAUGCGUUGGUGAAGGACCCUUCCUUGGCGCCGGGGGAAAUGAAGUGCCAGGGGUCUUAAGACUGUGAGGGCAAAAUUGGGACGAGUGACUCAGCCCAGGGUUCCUCUUUGCAAGUUCAAGUGAAAAGGCAGAGGAUGGCAUGGCGUGCUGCUCUUGGUAGCGUUUGCAUCGCUUAUUCAUACCUCUCGUGCACUCUUCGUUUCCCGCCGAUUCGACUUGGCGUCCUUACCUUGGUUGAGGGUUAUGUGUCACGGACUUGGUUCCGCAUCCCACGUUCCCUUGCUGGGAGUCCCUAGCCUUGGCGACAGGUAGCGACGUGCACUUGGGCGCUUGGCGUCCUUGGGUAAGUUCGGGGGCGGUGCCCAAGCUUGCAGCUACGACGACAACUUGCAUGGGAGCAGAUGAUGUAGGAACAAGGCAGCACACGAGUAACUCGCAGCCAGGGAAAUGAUACCUAGCCGGACAUGCAGGCAGUGGAGCAUACACGGGAGGUGUGGGUAGGGGUGAAAACGCUGCCGGGAGCGUACUGCUGCUGCCGUUAGUUAGCCUUUAGAUCCAGAGCCGAGUGGCGAGGGUAUGACGAUAGGGGAAGCGGGGAAGAUUCCUCCCUUUGAAGAUUGAAGCUGGAGAACUUUCGGGUGUAGUAUGAUCAACCUAAGAUAUAUCGGAUUUAUAUAUGUAUAGUAUGGUUGGCAUGAGUGCGGUAUUGAUGGAAUAUUAGAUCAUCUUGGACAUUACUACUUGGAUUCUAGGUUGGAGGUAACUUGGGCACUUGGAUUUGUGAUAUUUUGACCUAAGCUUAGUAGUUUGUAUAUGCCCCAUUGGAUCAUCUUGGAUAUUACUACUUGGAUUCUAGGUUGGAGGUAACUUGGGCACUUGGAUUCGUAAUAUUUUGACCUACGCUUAGUACCUUGUAUGUGCCUCAUAUAUGGAUACAUGGAGAUGAUACAAAUGGAUCGGAGUUGGUAUACUUUGAUGAUUUUGCUAGCCCUCCCCAUAUGUAUUGGACUUAGAUAACUAUGAUACUAGGCUUGGUUGGAUUAUAAUUAUGAUUUUUGCUAGAUUCCUUUGAAGAUUGAAGCUGGAGAACUUUAGGGUGUAGUAUGAUCAACUUGAGAUAUAUCAGAUUUAUAUAGGUAUAUAUGAUUGGCAUGAAUGUGGUAUUGGUGGACUAUUGGAUCAUCUUGGAUAUCACUACUUGGAUUCUAGGUUGGAGGUAAAUUGGGCACUUGGAUUUGUGAUAUUUUUACCUAGCUUGUAUGUGCUCCAUAUGGAUAUGAGCAUGGAGAUGAUACAAAUGGAUCGGAGUUGGUAGACUUUGAUGAUUUUGCUAGCCCUCAUGUGUAUUGGACUUAGAUAACUAUGAUACUAGGCUUGGUUGGAUCAUAGUUAUGAUUUUGUGCUAGAUUCCUUUGAAGAUUGAAGCACUACUUGGAAUCUAGGUUGGAGGUAACUUGGGCACUUGGAUUUGUGAUAUUUUUACCUAAGCUUAGUAGCUUGUAUGUGCCCCAUAUGGAUAUGAGCAUGGAGAUGACACAAAUGGAUCGGAGUUGGUAGACUUUGAUGAUUUUGCUAGCCCUCCUCAUAUGUAUUGGACUUACAUAACUAUGAUACUAGGCUUGGUUGGAUCAUAGUUAUGAUUUUGUGCUAGAUUCAUUUGAAGAUUGAAGCUGGAGAACUUUAGGGUGUAGAGUUAUCAACGUGAGAUAUAUCGGAUUUAUAUAGGUACAGUAUGAUUGAAAUGAGUGUGGUAUUGAUGGACUAUUCGAUCAUCUUGGAUAUUGCUACUUGGAUUCUAGGAUUAAGAUAACUUGGGCACUUGGAUUUGUGAUAUUUUGACCUAAGCUUAAUAGCUUGUAUGUGCCCCAUAUGAAUAUGAGCCAUGGAGAUGAUACAAAUGGAUCGGAGUUGGUAGCCUUCGAUGAUUUUGCUAACCCUUCCCAAAAAUGUUAUGUACAAGAUCAUCAUGGUCGUGGAGGGAAAACUAGGCAUGACUCAACCCAAUGUAUAAGAAGAAAUAUGAUUUUGACCAUGCGAAUGGAAAUACAUGUACAUGUAGUGCCAACAGAAAAUAUGUUAAUUUAGGGGAUUCUGGUACGAAGCCACCUUGCAAGAGGUUAUUGAGUGCAGGCAACCAUGCGUUGGUUAAGGACCCUUCCUUGGCGCCGGGGGAAAUGAAGUGACAGGGGUCUUAAGACUGUGAGGGCAAAAUUGGGAUGAGUGACUCAGGGUUCCUUUUUGCAAGUUCAAGUGAAAAGGCAGAGGAUGGCAGGGCGUGCUGCUCUUGAUAGCGUUUGCAUCGCUUCUUCAUACCUCUCGUGCACUCUUCGUUUCCCGCCGAUUCGACUUGGCGUCCUUACAUUGGUUGAGGGUUAUGUGUCACGGACUUGGUUCCGCAUCUCACGUUCCCUUGCUGGGAGUCCCUAGCCUUGGCGACAGGUAGCGACGUGCACUUGGGUGCUUCGCGUCUUUGGGUAAGUUCGGGGGCGGUGCCCAAGCUUGCAGCUAUGGCGACAACUUGCAUGGGAGCAGAUGAUGUAGGAACAAGGCAGCACACGUGUAACUCGCAGCCAGGGAAAUGAUACCUAGCCGGACAUGCAGGCAGUGGAGAGUACACGGGAGGUGUGGGUAAGGGUGAAAACGAUGCCGGGAGCGUAAUGCUGCUGCCGUUAGUUAGCCUUUAGAUCCAGAGCCGAGUGGCGAGGGUAUGACGAUAUGAGAAGUGGGGAAGAUUCCUUCCUUUGAAGAUUGAAGCCGGAGAACUUUCGGGUGUAGUAUGAUCAACCUAAGAUAUAUCGGAUUUACAUAUGUAUAGUAUGGUCGGCAUGAGUGUGGUAUUGGUGGACUAUUAGACCAUAUUGGACAUUACUACUUGGAUUCUAGGUUGGAGGUAACUUGGGCACUUGGAUUUGUGAUAUUUUGACCUAAGCUUAGUAGCUUGUAUAUGCCGCAUUGGAUCAUUUUGGAUAUUGCUACUUGGAUUCUAGGUUGGAGGUAACUUGGGCACUUGGAUUUGUGAUAUUUUGACCUAAGCUUAGUAGCUUGUAUGUGCCCCAUAUAUGGAUAUGAGCAUGGAGAUGAUAAAAAUGGAUCGGAGUUGGUAGACUUUGAUGAUUUUGCUAGCCCUCCCCAUAUGUAUUGGACUUAGAUAGCUAUGAUACUAGGCUUGGUUGUAUUAUAAUUAUGAUUUUCGCCAGAUUCCUUUGAAGAUUGAAGCUGGAGAACUUUAGGAUGUAGUAUGAUCAACUUGAGAUAUAUCAGAUUUAUAUAGGUAUAUAUGAUUGGCAUGAGUGUGGUAUUGGUGGACUAUUGGAUCAUCUUGGAUAUCACUACUUGGAUUCUAGGUUGGAGGUAACUUGGGCACUUGGAUUUGUGAUAUUUUUACCUAAGCUUAGUAGCUUGUAUGUGCCCCAUAUAGAUAUGAGCAUGGAGAUGAUACAAAUGGAUCGGAGUUGGUAGACUUUGAUGAUUUUGCUAGCCCUCAUGUGUAUUGGACUUAGAUAACUAUGAUACUAAGCUUGGUUUGAUCAUAGUUAUGAUUCUGUGCUAGAUUCCUUUGAAGAUUGAAGCACUACAUGGAUUCUAGGUUGGAGGUAACUUGGGCACUUGGAUUUGUGAUAUUUUUACCUACGCUUAGUAGCUUGUAUGUGCCCCAUAUGGAUAUGAGCAUGGAGAUUAUACAAAUGGAUCAGAGUUGGUAGACUUUGAUGAUUUUGCUAGCCCUCCUCAUGUGUAUUGGACUUAGAUAACUAUGAUACUAGGCUUGGUUGGAUCAUAGUUAUGAUUUUGUGCUAGAUUCAUUUGAAAGAUUGAAGCUGGAGAACUUUAGGGUGUAGUAUUGAUCAACCUGAGAUGUAUCCGAUUUAUAUAUGUAUAGUAUGAUUGGCAUGGGUGCGUUAUUGGUGGACUAUUGGAUCAUCUUGGAUAUUACUACUUGAAUUCUAGGUUGGAGAUAACUUGGGCACUUGGAUUUGUGAUAUUUUGACCUAAGUUUGGUAGCUUGUAUAUGCUCCAUAUGGAUAUGAGCAUGGCGAUGAUACAAAUGGAUCGGAGUUGGUAGACUUUGAUGAUUUUGCUAACCCUUCCCAAGAAUGUUAUGAGUACAAGAUCAUCAUGGGAGGAUGAUUUGGAUUAAUUAGAAUAGAUGGCAAUUUCAGUGGUGUGUGCCUUUUGGGGUAGCUGAUCUUGCUUUUAUUAUGUGUUGGAUGCAAUAGUAGUAGGAGAGUAUGACUUAUGAAGUGAUAUUAUAUUCUUGGAUAAAUAGAUCUUUAAUAAACCUUGGGUGAUUGUGAUCUUGAAAAAAAAUCUCGUGGAUGAUAACUUCUAAUUUUUGUAUCUAUAGUCAUCAAGUGCAAGCUUGCUUUAUUUGGACUUCCAAACCGUUAUACUGGGCUUGGUUGGGUCUUGAUUAUGAUUUGUUCUAGAUUCCCACCUUUGAAGAUUGAACCUGGAGAACUUUUGGGUGUAGUAUGAUGAACCUGAGAUAUAUUGAAUUUAUAUAGGUGUAGUACAAUUAGCAUGAUUGUGGAAUUGGUGGACCAUUGGAUCAUCAUGGAUUGAAUUACUUAAGGAAACAAAGAUCUUUGAGCAAUAAAAUGGUGUUUGGUUAGAUGAUAUAACUACUUGGAUUCUAGGUUGGAGAUAUAUUGGGCACUUGGAUUUGUGAUUUUUUUACCUAAGAUCAGUAGCUUGUAUGUGACCCAUGUGGAUAUGAGCAUCGAGAUGAUACAACGGGAUUGGAAUUGGCAGACUUUGAUGGUUUUGAUGGCCCUCCGUAAGAAUGUUAUGAGUACAUGAUCAUCAUGGAAGGAUGGUUUGGAUUAAUUGGAAUAGAUGGCAAUUUGUUGGUAUGUUCCUUGUUGGAGCAGCUGAUCUCGAGAAAUGCGCAUCCGACAACUCACUAGAUCCGAACACCGACAACCCUUGUGCUCAUCACUGGAAUCUCAAAAGACACACUCAACAUAUUGAUUAGACAAUUUGGUGCGCGAAGAACGUAGCAGAAGCAACCAAACAAACGAAGUGUUUAGUAGUUAGGAGAAUGCCCACAAAGACGCACGAGAGGACUAUCACCGUGUAGAGCAGAGGAAGUAUGAAUGUUGAUGAGAUAGGUGGCUACGAUCAUCAACGCACUAUCCGCCUCAUGAAGGUGCCAAUGCUUGCGCUCAGAGCGGCACCAUUCCGAGCCUGAGCACGAGGAUAAGAGAACUGAGCAAGUGUGAUAGCUUGCAUGUGCCCCAUGUGGAUAUGAGCAUGGAGAUGAUACAAAUGGAUCGGAGAUAGUAGACUUUGAUGAUUUUGCUAACCCUCAUGUGUACCGGACUUAGAUAACUACGAUACUAGGCUUGGUUGGAUCGUAGUUAUGAUUUGUGCUAGAUUCCUUCCUUUGAAGAUUGAAGCUGGAAAACUUUAGGGUGUAGUAUGAUCAAGCUGAGAUAUAUCGGAUUUAUAUAGGUAUAGUAGGAUUAGCAUGACUACGGUAUUGGUGGACUAUUGGGAUCAUCUUGGAUAUUGCUACUUGGAUUCUAGGUUGGAGAUAACUUGGGCACUUGGAUUUGUGAUAUUUUGACCUAAGCUUAGUAGCUUGUAUGUGCCCCAUAUGGAUAUGAGCAUGGAGUUGGUAGACUUUGAUGAUUUUGCUAACAACCCCCCCCCCCCCUCCACCCCACCCCCCAAGAAUGUUACGAGUACAAGAUCAUCAUGGGAGGAUGAUUUGGAUUAAUUAGAAUAGAUGGCAAUUUCAAUGGUAUGUGCCUUUUUGGAGCAGCUGAUCUCGCUUUUAUUAUGUGUUUGUGCUAGUUUAGAUGCAAUAGUAGUAGGAGGGUAGCAUAGGAGGCACACCUCCCCCUUGCCACCGUCAAGGCCGAAACCUGGCGAGAGGGCGACAUGCACGAGCGGGUCGGGGCAGAAAGCACAAGGCUGUACUGUAGCAUCUUCAUCGGCACCUCGUUGGGGUCGUCCACACAUGCCUUGACGACAAAGUACGAGAGGUCGAGCCUGUCGAAGGAUUCAAUGGCCAUAUGGUAGAUUAGGCAUUCAGGCAACAGUUCUUGGGCGGUUUGAGGCCAGAACUCCCGGAGGGGAUGCGUUGGAUGGACAGCCCAACGUUGUAGCAGCAUUGAACCGACGUGGAGAAGGUUAUCUUGUUCGACCACCACACUAGGAGCGGCAUGCCGCGGUAGUGGACUGCGUCCACCCCACGAACGAUGUCGAACCACCGGCAGUGCGUGAAGCUGGCGAGAGACCUGAAAGCCGUUUGUUCGAAAGCUGAAUGAGAGAGACCUGAAAGCCGUUUGUUCGAAAGCUCCGGGAAGUCGUCCUUGAUGCCCUCAACAAUUUUUACCAGGAUUAGAGACGACCUCGUACCCGCCACCAUGAGCACCAGCGCCAAAUCCCAUAGGUAAGAACAUAUCCUCGAUGAGGCACCUCGUCUUGCGCGAGCGGGUGUUGCCCCUCGCCGGGUCGUACGCGAACCUAGCCGACAUGGAAGGCUCCAGCGACGAAAGGGCGGGUGGCUCCUUGUCGGGAAAGGUGAACCUGGAAUGAGUCGGCGAUUCGGGUGGUUGAGGGGUGGGGUGGACCAGCCUGGAUUGGACAUACUAGCGGCGGCGGCGGGGGUGGCAGCUGCACUCACGGCCUUGGCGGUGGUCAAGGCAGGGCUAAGAGUAGUGAUGGACUCGUUAGCGGCGGCCAGGUCAUCAUGGCGGCGCGUGAAGUUCCUUCUAAAGCACAUCCUCUAGCCCAAGUGGUACAUUUGUUCAUUUGUGAUAUGUUCUAUUAGUGUUAUGUUCUCGUUGUCUCUUGCUCUGUUUCUCUUGCCCACAGGUACAUUUGUUCAUUUUCGUAGACCUGCUAUGUUCUAUUGUAAUUUGAGUUCAAAUGUCAAGUUGCGCCGCCACAAAAUGCUGCUACUUUAACUUCUGUAAGUGCAGCGAGCAGCGUAGGCGGCCGCUGCAGCUGCUCACAUGGAACGUAUGCCCUGUUGCAGCCUCGCAGCUUAACAUUCGACACUUCCUUCAAAGGGGUCCUUCAGCCUCCAAGGAGAAGGGAAGUGAUGUCUGACAGGGAAAGAAACUAGGCGAAGCUCUGGAUGCUCGAUCGGGUUAACUUUUUGUGUGCCUAUUAGUAUGCCUUGCUGCCAAGUGGAAAUAGUCUAUUUGAUGCUCAUAAAUAGAGCUUCCUGGCGGGAAGGAUGAGGCACACUCAUUGGUACUUUGGUUUUAUAUCCAUUUGUUAUACAGUUUUUCUCUUCCAAGCAUAUAAACUUUGGCAAAUUAGAGUGUGCAAUCAAGUCUCCUAAGUGAACAGUUUUACCAUAUUAUCAAGUUUGAGGGCAUAUACCAUAAGAGCAUAUAAGAUAAGAGCAUGUCAUGCUACAUGAAAAUCUGUCUUCAGAUCUAAUUUCGUAUUUUUUCUAUUUUGUCGGUUAGAAAACCAGUUUCCUGAGUUGUUAGUCUGAGUAUUCAAAUUGAUCCACAGAGUUCAGGGCUUCUGGAUGGAAGAGUUUCCUACAACCUCAAAAUCUUAGUACUCUCUACAUAGACUUCAUAAUUCCGCCUCACUUUCUCUGAAGAAUUUUUGAAGUAUGCCUUUUAUUUGGGUUGUUCGUGCAUUUGCAGUGUUGGAGGUGUUAGUGCAAGAUUGUAGAGUUGGAAAGUAUAGUAAAACGUCAGUUGGUGCAGGGACUUGGUGAAGCCAUCAGCCUCGACUGUGUCUGCUUCCCCGAUGGUUUUGACUUCUGAUUAGCGAUUCUGACACAUAUUAUUGAUGAUUUGGUCUUUGUGGCAGCUUUCAGUUUGAACUGGCAUUCAGUUGGCUUCAUCCUCUUUGGUGCAUCUUGGAGUUAGUAGUGUGCACAUCUGAAUCUUUUGACUUUCCUGGAGCAUAUUACUUGGUUUAUGGUGUCUGCUAACUUGCAUGCGAUUUUGAUGGAAUCUGAUCUCAUUUUUUUUGCUCCCAGUGAAUAUACAGAAGGCUAGGAGUAAAUGAUGGAAGAUCCUUUAGUCACAACGAGGGUUCUACUUUUGUACUCAAAGUUUGUAUAGUAGAUAAUCAAAUUUUGGUCUUUAGCUUGCAAAAUUGUCACCUUAUAGAGAAGUAAAGGUUGCAUUGAGCUCUGAUUAUCUCCACUAGCAGGCAGAAGGCGCCGCUGUGCCUGAGUUUAAGUCCGUCGUUUAGCAAAUGUCUAGCUUAAUUAAUUGUUGCUUGUAUCUGCUACUAAUAGUUUAUUGUGUUUUGGUAAGUGAAAAUAAUAUAGUGAGCAGUAUGGAUCACUUAGUUAAUUACAUGACUUGGAGGCGUUCAGGAUGCAUGAAAAAGUUCAGCAGGGUGAGCACUGGUCUAAGAGAGUACACUAUCUAGCUAAAUGAUUUACAGAUGAAGAUAAAGAGAGAAAGUUGGUGGAGUUGCUUGUGGCUUGUCAGCACUCCGGAUGAUUUGCUACUGGCCUUCAUGCUUUGGAGUCGAGAGAAUAAUUCUUUUAAGCUCUGGUUGUUAUAUAUUCUUGGCAGACCUGAGUGUUUGGGGUUAUAUUGGAUCUUUGUGCAGAAAAGAUCCGCUGGCUUUGUAUGCUCUCAUGUACAGUGUGUUCAGAGGAUGGCAGAGUUGCAAUGAUAUCUUUGUUCGAUGUAUCAUCUGCCAUUGGUACAGAGGAUGAAGAACGUGGGAUGGCCAGGUAGCGUGUUGAUCAUCAGGAGUAGCGGUAACUGGUCUUAAUUCUCUAAGUAUUCUGCUGCUCAUACUUGGAAAUGUAAAUUGCUUGGGAUGUACCUUGGCCAUGGCUGUGCAUCUGGACAGUUAGAACAACCAUAUGAUCCAUUUCCAUCUGUUCUCAUUUUCUUCAGCAAACUUUACAACUCAUAUACCACCAGUUAUUCCAGUGACUUUGAUUCUCAGCUUAUAGUAUUUCUUCUGCACAUGUAUUGAAAAAUAUGUAUUCCGGCCAAAAGUAUAUGUAGUUGUAGAAAUGACGGUAGAUUAUUUUUAAAUACCAGUGUCAGUGGGAUCAACCAAAGCAUUGAUAGUGAUUUCUGUUGUUUCUUGGCGACCUUGCCCUGUAUUUCGCUGCUGUUCUAGUGUGGCUUUUAUCUCAGGUAUGUCAACAUUCACCUGCCACCUUGUCAAUGUUUAACUACGAUAUGGAAACCCAUAACACCUAAAUUUUGAAGAAACAAUGACUGAAUGUUUGUACCUGCAUAUUGAUAUAUCGUUGUUCCAAAAUAACAGUAUUACAUCAAGUGAUCGUGCAAAAUCUCCUGAAAGUGCAACAUUUGCAUCUUUUCUGUAGAAAUUGCAGAGUUAUUUCACAUCCAGUUAUUUUACAUCACCCAAA